GAUCCAACAUUUCAGGUAUCCGAAACUUUCUACGGAUUCGGAUCACAUUUUCCCGAUCUUUUUAUCCGAAAUUGAACACCCCACCGGAAACGUAUACUAAAUGUAGCCGUUUAAUUUGGUUGGGAAAGAAAAGAAAAAAUACCACCAAUUAAUAUAUAAUCAUUCCACUAAUUUCUCUCGAAAAAAAAAAAAAAAAGUUCCACCAAGCAAGAAUUAGGAACGAAAUCGUAGAGGAAGAUCCACAAGUAUGACCAGCGUUGUUCCCAAAGUUGCCGUCAUUGGCAGUGGAAUUUCAGGAGCAGUAUGUGCUUCAAUUCUGGCCAAAAAUGGAGUUGCAGUUACUGUUUUUGAUUGGGGUAGAGGUCCUGGAGGCCGCAUGUCUCAAAGAAGGGAAACUACUAAGGAAGGGACAGACCUAUUCUUUGACCAUGGUGCUCCGUACUUCACAGUUUCAAACACUGGUGUUUUGGAUGUUGUUUUGGAGUGGGAGUCAAGAGGUCUAGUUGCAGAGUGGAAAGAGAAAUUUGGAAUCUAUGAUUGCAUCUCCAAGGCCUUUGUUGAUUAUGAGGAGGAAUCAUCGAGCAGGAAGUAUGUAGGCAUUCCAGGCAUGAAUUCUAUAUGCAGAGCAUUAUGCAAUGAGCCCGGAGUUGAAAGCAAAUUUGGGAUUGGUGUUGCAAAGAUGGAUUGGGCAAUAGAUCAGAAGUCAUGGUCAUUGAUCAGUUUGGAUGGAAUGUUUCUUGGUGCUUUUGGUGGUUUGAUAGCGACAGACAAGAUUCUUGCUGCUCCUGGCUUUGCCCACUUAACAGGACACCCUCCACCUCUUGAUAUAAAUUUGGCACCACAAUUUGCAUCAAGGGUAGAACAAGUACCUUUCAGACCUUAUUUUGUUCUCAUGCUUGCUUUCAGUGAGCCUCUACGCACUAUUUCUGUAAGAGGGUUCUCAUUCAAAAACUCUCAAGUGUUGAGCUCUGCUUUUUGUGACAGCAGUAAGCCAGGUCGUUCUUCAGCCAGUGAAUGUUGGGUGUUGCAUUCCACUGAGGAAUACGCUAAAAAAGUGAUAGCUGAAACUGGACUUAAAAAGGCUUCUGAUACAACAUUUGCAAGAGUCUCUGAAGAACUUCUGCAGGAAUUUCAAAGAACCGGACUUUGCACUUCCCAGCCUUGUUUCAUGAAAGCUCAUCGGUGAUAUUGGAAUCAGAUAUUGGAAUCAGACAUAUGAAGUGUUGCUGUUGUAGGCCUUACAUGAGCAAACAUGCACUUUACCGGCCUUACUCAUCAUCAUCAUCGUCAUUACCCCAUUGCCUCAAAGAGGCUCCCGCAAGAAGCGGGGUAAGGGGUUGCAAAGAGGUUGUUUCCAAUUGACCCAAAAGCAAUAACGGGACAACAACGGGACGGCCAUCUUCUACUUCAUGGAAAGGAAGCGAAGAGGGGCAGUGCCUUUCCAACAGCAAGCAUAGCUAGAGAAGACAAGUGCUUGUGGGAUACAAACAAGCCAUUAGUUGUUUGUGGAGACUUCUGUGUCAGUCCAACCGUUGAAGGUGCAAUUCAGAGUGGCUUGGCUGCAGCUUCUAAGUUAUUGGAAAUGCACUUAGUUUCAACUACUCAAACUACUACAAUGUCUAUGAUUUAGCUAUGUUUUCCAACUUUUAUUUC